UGGAAACCACAGACGAGGAGAAGGAUCUCAGAGUAUUGGUUGAUCACAGGAUGACAACGAGCUACCAAUGUGAUGUGGCCGUGAAAAAGUCUAAUGCAGUCCAAGGAUACAUCAGGUCUCAAGCCUGUUCUUCUGCAGCAUGGCUUAGUUUUAGAGGGAACCACCUGAGUUGGGAAUGUGGCCAGUGGCACCCUGGGCUUGAUAUUAGCAGAUGCUGGCUAUGAUGUUUGGAUUGGACAUAACAGAGGGAACUAUUGGGCAAGAAAACACUACAACCUUACAGCUGAUUAGGAGAAAUUUUCAGAUAACAGAACCAACACGACUGCAGCUACACCACAGAUGAAAUUGGAAUGACAUUCUGACCUGG